AAGUCGUAACAAGGUUUUCCUUCCGUCCCUACUGAAGCCUUUCGCAGCGACCUUAAACAAUUGCGCAGCCUACUUGUAAUAUGCGAGUAUGGCAACACCAUGACACUGCUGAGACCCUUCUUAGGGAUCAGCGGCCCCGUGCUAACGCCCGGGUUCACAGAUCAAGUAAUGGUGGUCAUCGAAGAUGAUUAAGAUAUGACCGGUCUCCUCCAGAAUUGGAGAACGCUGCACCCAAACGAAGUGUAGUGAGAAGAACGUUCCGUAGGUGAACCUGCGGAAGGAUCAUUAUUGAAAAGGGAA
rnacentral:misc_RNA from 1 species